AGUGAACGCUGGCGGUAGGCCUAACACAUGCAAGUCGAACGGCAGCACAGUAAGAGCUUGCUCUUACGGGUGGCGAGUGGCGGACGGGUGAGGAAUACAUCGGAAUCUACUUUUUCGUGGGGGAUAACGUAGGGAAACUUACGCUAAUACCGCAUACGACCUACGGGUGAAAGCAGGGGAUCUUCGGACCUUGCGCGAUUGAAUGGGCCGAUGUCGGAUUAGCUAGUUGGCGGGGUAAAGGCCCACCAAGGCGACGAUCCGUAGCUGGUCUGAGAGGAUGAUAAGCCACACUGGAACUGAGACACGGUCCAGACUCCUACGGGAGGCAGCAGUGGGGAAUAUUGGACAAUGGGCGCAAGCCUGAUCCAGCCAUACCGCGUGGGUGAAGAAGGCCUUCGGGUUGUAAAGCCCUUUUGUUGGGAAAGAAAAGCAGCAGGUUAAUACCCCGCUGUUCUGACGGUACCCAAAGAAUAAGCACCGGCUAACUUCGUG
rnacentral:rRNA from 1 species